GCCCCGUUCGUCUAGUGGCCUAGGACGCUGGCCUCUCACGCCGGAAACAGGGGUUCGAAACCCCUACGGGGCG
rnacentral:tRNA from 1 species